UUAAUCUAAAUUAAUACUCCACCUAACCUUAGUGCAUGUUCUCUACAUAUAAAUACAUACACAAAUUCCAAACUGAUCAUCAAACUUAGAGAGUAUAGACCAAUCAACUACAAAAAAAAACCAAAAAAAAAAAUGUACGCGGUUCGGUUAAUAACUUUGAUUAUUCUCUUGUUCUCUGCAUCAUUCAACACAAUCGUCUUCGCUGGGUUAACGUACGAUAACGAAUCUCUCAAUACCAAAAUAGGAGUAGCGAUUUGGGAUCAAAAGGUGGUAAAAAAUGUAAGGGGUGCAGUAAAGCCCAGUAUCUCACGGCCUGCGCGUCAACGAUCAAGUCCAUGGAGUGGUUCUGAAAAUUCUAAUUCGACUCAAUGGGAAAGUUAUGUUGCUAUCAUUGAGGCAUUUGGCAUUUUUUCCCGGUAACUAGCUUCCAUGUAUUUGACAAUAUGAUCAGUUCAUAUGUGCUCUGUUUCAUAUUUUAAUAAAUUUCUUCUCGAGUGGCACAAUAUAACUUUAAAGCUUUUCAUGGGUUGGGCAAAGAUUAGUCAAUAGCAAACACAAAUUUGAAACAUUUCACACAAAGGAAUAGAUUUCAUAUUACUUA